CAAAUGAACCUUUCCACAGAAAAUGAAAUCAUGGAAUUGGAGAACAAACUUGUGUUUACCAAGGUGGAGGGAGUGGGAGGGACUGGGAAUUUGGGGUUACUCGAUGCAAACUAUUGCCUCUGGAAUGGAUAAGCAAUGAGAUCCUGCUGUGUAGCAUUGGGAACUACAUCUAGUUACUCAUGAUGGAGCAUGAUAAUGUGAGAAAAAUAAUGUAUACAUGUAUGUGAGACUGGGUCACCUUGCUGUACAGUAGGACAUUGACAGAACACUAUAAACCAACUAUGAUGGAAAAAAUAAAAAUCAUUAAAAAAAAGUAUGAGUUAAAAAACAAAGUGAGUCAGUAACAUCACUGAGUUCAAAAAUAUUUUUUGCAAGCUUUUCCUGCAACUGAACACACUUGUUCUGGUGAUUUUCUGACUAGUCAGAAGAAUGGUGAGGAGAUAGGAGUUACCCAGAAAUAUUUCCUUCUAAAUAAUUUAUCUCUUAUUUGAUAGUUAUGAGGAGCUCUUGUUUGAACAACUCCUCCUUCCACACCUACCUCAACAAAGGCUGGAGGUCUUGUGUGGAUAAGGAGGUGUCUUUCCCACCUCACCCCUACCCCUGCUAAAGAAAACAUUUUGUCUUCAUUGUCUGCAUUUGCUAAAUCUAUCCAUCAUAAGUAUUUGCUAAAUCUGAUGUAGAAAUACCUGUAGUUAUUUUCAUACUAUCACAUUCAUAUUCUGCUUUUUCAGAAAUCCUUUCAAGUACAAAAAUAAUUAUUCCUUCAGUGGGAGCUUUGCAAGACCACAACAUAGUUGCUUACUGCUGCCAUUCACAUGGGUCUGGAGCUGCCUAGAAUUCUAGAGUUUGCAUCAGUUUGUCUUUUCACAUCAUUUGAAUCACUGCACCAUUGCACUUGCUCUCCAAAUAUUAACAACUCAAAUUUCAGAUUAAAAAAAAAUUAAAAUAGCACACCAACAAAGAGGGAUAUUUCAGUACUUAAAAAUAGCACCAUGUACUAUAAUACCACAAUGUGAUAAUCACUCCUUUCUCCUUGGAUGGAGUACCCAGCAUGCUUUGAGGCAGGAGCUCAGGUUUACAAACUAGGAAAAUUGGGCUCAUACAAGUGAAGUAAUUAACCCUGAAGUCAUACAGAGAGCAGCAUUGAGAUUUGAACCCUGUUCUUCAGACUCUAAAGUCAGAGCAGCUUUUACUAUUUCUUAUUUAUCUGGUGCUUUUUAUGUAAAUAGACUCCAUGCUUUCUACUCUUUUAGUGAAAUAAAUGAUUGACAUUUUUUUCUCAGCAUAAACAAUCACUUAGCUUAACACAAAGAGGCAUUUUCCGGAGGUGAGGGCUGCUGAGCACCAGAAUGGGCUCUUGUAGCAGGUUAUGCAAUUUCCUCUACUGUCAUUCUCAAAACUAAUAGAAAUGAAGAGUUUUAAAAUUUACACAGGUUCCAGAUGACCCCUCAAGGUCUUUCCCAUUCUAAUAAUUCUAUGAUUCUACAGGUCUAUGAGAACUAAGACAAUUUAAAUCUGAAGUCAGUCAGUUCCCUCAACGUUUGGUCCUUUGCCUUUUUUGUUACCUUACCAAUGAAACAUCUGGAUGACAGAACUGAGUGGCUUUUUUCCCUCUUAGAUUUGAGCCUCCCGUAACCCCUGGACUUUGUUCUCUGUUGUGCUGUUAUCAAAGCAUCCAGGUGGAAGGGAUAGCUUGAGAAAUUGGAAAUAAUCUUGGUUGUCUUUCCUCUAUUUGCUCCCUUCAUCUUUUUUUCUGUUUAAUAAGCACAAAGUAAAUACAGAACUGAUUUUUUUUUAUUCUGAAGUGUUAUGAACAUUAAGCUCUGCGUAUUAUCAUGGGAAUGCAUUUCAUUUGAACUCCAAGGAGGCUUAAUGUAAUUUUUUUUUUUUAAAGGGAAACCCCAUUAGUAAUGCCACGACCAUUUCUCUUCUCCGUGGUUAUCCAGAAGGCCUUUCUCUGGCAACUCAAAUGUUUCUAAAUCCAUUCAGGCUUUUUCCAGGUCCUUACAGUUUUUGGAGCGCUAAGUUCUGAUGACCUAGACAGUAUUUUGAAAGAUUUGAGACCGUUUGGUUGUGGAAGUUUCCAUCAUUUGUCAAUUACCUACCAUAUACCAGAUUCUGUAGUGGGCUCUUUACAGGAUUUCUUCAUUUAACUCAGACACUCCUACAAAUUAGUAUGAUCUUGUUUGACUAUUAAGCCAGAUGUAAUUGAGAACAGUUGCCUGGUUUGCCAAUCAGCCUCCAACGAGUAAGUGACAAACUUGGACUUGAAUCUGGGCCUGGGAAUUCCCACACUAAGGUGCUUCCCACUGAAGCAUCUCAUCUUAUUGCUGUUGCUCCUGGCCAGUAACCCUCAGUCCCUCUUCUCAUAUCCAUAUGCCUGGAUUCCUGAUCCAGUCUUAAAUUUGGUCAAAUCUUUCCUUUAACUUGGUAGCCUGCCAACAUUCUGUUCAUUUGACUUGAAGAUAAGCUCUUUGUUUCUUUUGAGAAAUCCUGACACAUUCUAUGCUCAAAUCACUGAUCAGUCAUUUUAUAAUCCCACUGUAACUGUUGCCCUGACCCACUGCUGGGUGAUGAGCUUGUGAAGAAGAGCCUCCCAAGCUGGAGAAAAGAUCAUUACAACACAGUACAGCCAGUAACAAAAAGAGGAACAGACAGUAUGACUGGGUAUCCUGACGAUUAACUUUGCCUGGGGAAAAUCUGAGAAGGCGUUCCAGAAGGUGUGAUAUGGGAGCCGAGUUUUGAAAAUAUUUGUGAUGGACUGAUUGUGUUCCCCUUAAAAUUCCUAUGUCGAAGCCCUAACUUCCAAUCUGACUGUGUUUGGAGAUGGAAUUUUCAAGAUGUCCUCAAGGUUGAAUGGAUUCUUAUGGGUGGACCCUAAUCCUAAGCGGUGUCCUUAUAAAAAGAGGAAAUUUGGACACACAGGGAUGCAUGUGCAUAGAGAAAGGACCAUGUAAGGACACAGUGAGAAGGUGGCCAUCUGCCAGCCAAAGACGGAAGCCUCCGGAGAAAACAAACCUGCUGACGCCUCCAUUUUGGACUUCCAGACUCCAGAACUGCGAGAAACACAUUUUGAUUGUUACGGCCACCCAGACUAUGGUAUUUUGUUAUGGCAGCUGGAGCAAACUAAUACAAUGUUUCAAAACUCCAUUGUCUGUCUUGAGUUGUCUUAGCUCCUUCCAAGUAUCCCCCUAACACUUCUCAUACCACCUGCUUUCCCCUCUCUACCUCUGACGUGAUCUAAAGGACCUAGGUAUGUUUCUCUAAUAAACGGUAGGUAGGUGGACUUUUCCUAUGAACACUUUGGCCAGUGGUCCACAUGAAAUCCACAUCAGUUUAUAAGUAUGGAUACCAGCAGGGCCCAAAUAGCUCCUGACCAUUUAUAAGAAAUAUAUGUGGUUCUGGUAUACUUUCCGUAAUCUUUUCUAAAAUAAGCUCAGAAUUUCUACAAUGUGUAACAAUGGAUGUGUCACUUGUGAAAUGCAACACAGAGCAGAGAACUCUUCCAAAGAAUUGUGCAUGCUUCUGAAGACUUAAUUACUUCUAUAAUUUUAUGCCAUUUUACACAUUUAUGUUUUUAAUCAAAGGUUUAAAAUUUGUAAGAACUGUAAGAACUCUGUGAAAGUAGAAAAACGCUAUGGAGACACGUGAGCAGAGAUCAAAUAGACUCUAAUUAGGUAAAUGUACAUUCAGUCUGGAAACAGCGCUGGGCACACAGUAAGCACAAUGUAAGUGUUAGACAUAAUUAUUGCUUUGAGACAAAACGGAAACUCUCCAAACACAAAGACCCUCAGGUGAUAUUGAAGAAAUAGAAUCAAAACUGGAAAUGAGGAGAGUCAAAAUUUGUAAAACUAAUUUGAUAAAAGUGCCAGAUAAAAUAAUCAGCAAGCCAUUAUAUGGGGAAACAAAAGAGGAAAAACAGGUUGCAAAUGUGAGCAGCAUAAUCAAAGAUAUUUGAUAAAGAGUAAAACAGAUUUUCUUUUGAGUGACUGUCUGUCUUCCUAACAUAUGAUGAACUUCCUAAGGGAGGGGAUGGGAUAAUUUCUUUCUUAUUUCAGUAUUUUCAGGGUAUUUACCUGAUACUGCAUAGGCCAUGACUAUGUGAUGAAUGAAUGAUUGACUAAGAUUCGUAGGACAGAGAAGGGGCGGGGAGGCACUCACUAAGUUGUUCACAGUAUCUGCCAUGUUCCUGUUCCCAUCUGAACUUCUCAUUUCUUUGUGUCUUCCAGCUGUGACUCCAAUCUAACCUCUUAGUGAAUAGCUGACACUUUUAUAGUUUAUAAAUGCUUCUGAUGUGUCACUCAUUGACUUUGGUCUGAAAACACCCAUGGGUGUUAGGCAAAGUGAGAGAUCCUAUCCCCUUGUACACAAGAGGAACCAGAAGCCCAGAUAGGCUGUGAUUUGCUCAAGGUCACACAGCUUAUGUAAGGACUCUGUUCCAAAUUAUCUCAACCCCGAGCAGGUAUUCUUUUCACUUUACCAUCAACCGUGGUACCCAGAGGAGGCUAAAACUUCAAGAGGAGACCCUUCCUUGGAUGGCAACAAUGGAACCAGGCCUGAAGCAUAAGCAUCUUCUUCUAGCCAGUCAUUACUACAAGCAGUGAUCACUUGAAGAGGGAAAACUAGGCACUGACAAACUGGUUACAAGCAUGGGCCGUGGAGUCAGGCUUUGCUUAGAAUUCCACUUAUGCCCCUUAGUCAUUAUGAGAUCUUCAAGAUACCUUCUUUUUGCCUAAAACCAUUAAACAUUUACUAUGUUCCCUUCAGUGACUAGGUCAUGGGUACACAGUGGUUUACAAAGGAAAGACAUGGCUUUUCCCAUCUCUGGUUGUCUAAUGCUAAACAAGAAUGUGCUUUUAUGUCUAAUGAGUACACCAACAUUGUUGCAAGAAAUUAAAUGGACAAUAAAGCAAAGCUUUCAGCAGGUGCUGGGCACACAGUAAUGGCCCUGGCAAUGGUAGCAAAAUACAGGUGCUCGAAAGUCAUGGGAAUGUUCAACCUGACUGCUCAUCUCCUCCAUGUGGUCCGCUCACCACCUCCUUGCACCCAACAUUGAAUUUUAAGAUUAGACCAUCCUCAAAAAUGAGCGAUCCCUCCAGACGGCUCUCCAUAUAUCACCGAAUGCCUUCACGUUUGUUACUUACCACCGCCAUUCUCUGCGAUGCAUAUGCUCAUCCCCUGAUAAUACACAUGGAAACACAGGCCGCUGUAGUUUGUGACCCACGAAACACCAGUGACAAGAAAGGAGCCACCUCAUCAUCGUAGGAACCUUCACUAGCUCCUCACUGCUUCCCAAAUGUAAAUCCAACCUCCCGGACACAUCCGCAGAAUUGCUUCCCAAGCAUAGAUCUGUGGCAGGAGAGUGAUUCUAAUGGAUAAUCCAGUUUUCCCUUGAGGAAAUAAAUAAGGACAUUGCAGUGAAUGUUCUAUAAAUCUGCUUUAAAGAAAUAUCCUCUAUUCUGAUUACUUCUACUAGUUUUGGUGUUCAAUGUCAUUGGCAUCAUAGAAUUAGGACGCUUGCACUUGGUUUUUCUUUCCCUUUUUCUUUUUUUCUUUUUUGGUAAAUGUCCCUUUUUAACAAAAUAAAGAGCCUGACUGAGCUUUUUGCUUUUGAACUAGCCUGUGAAAUCUGGAAGAUAGGAUUUUUGUACCCAGCCAGGACUGAUGUGCAAUUUGAGGUCUCUCCUCCCCACCUCUGCACCCUUGCUCGGUUCUGUGUCUCUACCCCUACCCCAUCCUCCUCUCUUCUCUAAUUGAGCAGCAUUUGACCUAAUCUUCUCCUCGCCAUUCUUUAAAUUCUAUGAUUGCAUAUGUCUGCAGAUCAGUCCCUGCCAAUCGCUCUGCCCUGGACAACUUUUCACCCCACAGGUUAUACCUUAAUGCUUCACCUUCUAGAGGACUUCCCUCUGCUCUCCAAGACAGUGCUAAAUACUGCUCUUCCAGGGUGCUGGCUGAGUCCCACGUCACAUUUUCCCUUUCUUAACAGGGUGGUUGUCUCUCUAUUUGCCCCCAGGAGACCUUGAGUCCUGUAAGGGCAGAGAUGGAGCUCUGGCCUCUCUUUUGUUGUCUCCCUGUGCUGAGCCUGGUGGCCAGCAUCUCACUGUGGACCAAGUGGCUGAGACAGAGGAGAGGAGAUGGGUGGAGGGGGAGGAGGAAUGAGAAAAACACAGGCAGAGAAUGGAGCUGGAGAGAUACACACAGAGAGGAAAGAUGGACAGAUCCAGGGAUAGGAAGACACAGGGAGAGAAAAGACACUGAGCAAUAACAAGAGAGAAAGAAAGAGGCAAUGGGGCCCUACGUCCGGCACAGGGAAAUGUGUGUGCUUGGGUCACUUUGCUGUACAACAGAACUUGAAGAAACACUGUGGAUUGACG
rnacentral:lncRNA from 1 species